rnacentral:snoRNA from 1 species
UUGCACGGUGCUAACCCCGGGCUUGUCGGAUUGAAAUUCCCCUGAAGAAGGAAGCCCCAAUGCCUGUGCUAGAUCCACACUGCCAUUCAGUGUUGCAGAUCUUGAUGCUUCGCGCGUGUGAUUGAUCUGUGUCAACGUAAUGGAUACAUUU